UUGUCCUGGGGACCCCAGCCAAUUUCCUGUGCCAGAGCCCAGCGCUUCUGACCCUACCACUUAGGUAGAAAGAGCAAGGCUUUGGAGUCAGACAGAUAAGAUUCAAUUCCUCCUCCAGCAUUUACAAACCGGGUGCUUUGAGCCACAGGACUUCUGAGAAAUUAUACUACAAAAGUGGUAUCAGAUGAAGAGGUGAUCAAAGGAUAUGCAGGCCAAAAAUAUA